CUUGACAUCCAGCGAACUUUCCAGAGAUGGAUUGGUGCCUUCGGGAACGCUGAGACAGGUGCUGCAUGGCUGUCGUCAGCUCGUGUUGUGAAGUGUUGGGUUAAGUCCCGCAACGAGCGCAACCCUUAUCCUUUGUUGCCAGCGAUUCGGUCGGGAACUCAAAGGAGACUGCCGGUGAUAAACCGGAGGAAGGUGGGGAUGACGUCAAGUCAUCAUGGCCCUUACGAGUAGGGCUACACACGUGCUACAAUGGCGCAUACAAAGAGAAGCGACCUCGCGAGAGCAAGCGGACCUCAUAAAGUGCGUCGUAGUCCGGAUCGGAGUCUGCAACUCGACUCCGUGAAGUCGGAAUCGCUAGUAAUCGUGGAUCAGAAUGCCACGGUGAAUACGUUCCCGGGCCUUGUACACACCGCCCGUCACACCAUGGGAGUGGGUUGCAAAAGAAGUAGGUAGCUUAACCUUCGGGAGGGCGCUUACCACUUUGUGAUUCAUGACUGGGGUGAAGUCGUAACAAGGUAAGCGUAGCGAG
rnacentral:rRNA from 1 species